UUCUCAACUCAAUCAGUGCUAUGUCAAUUUCGAAAGUUACGUUUGCUUGUACGGGUCAAGUUUUAACUCCAAAUGUCAUGUUGAUGAUCCUUAAUGCUGCUGUUCAACUUGAUCCAUUGGUGAAACAGAGGGGAGAUAUUUCCUAGGAUUCAACAUAUUCACAACCACGUCAUGUACAAAUAUUUUCAAUGGAGCUGGUGGUGUGUUGGAGGUUGAUCCGAGUCUCUCGUUUGGUUAUUUAUUAAGACCGACCAGGCCCCAAAAAAUGCUGAUAAGAGAUAGGGUACGGCGUAGCUUCGUCGCGUCCGUAGUAACUUACAAGUCUGACAGGUAUGCCAUGCCUUUUCAUCAUAUAGGUGUGUAUCAUACCUGGUCCAGCGUUAGCGAUUCCAGUAC